UACGGGGGGGGCAAGCGUUGUUCGGAAUUACUGGGCGUAAAGGGCUCGUAGGCGGCCAACUAAGUCAGACGUGAAAUCCCUCGGCUUAACCGGGGAACUGCGUCUGAUACUGGAUGGCUUGAGUUCGGGAGAGGGAUGCGGAAUUCCAGGUGUAGCGGUGAAAUGCGUAGAUAUCUGGAGGAACACCGGUGGCGAAGGCGGCAUCCUGGACCGACACUGACGCUGAGGUGCGAAAGCGUGGGGAGCAAACAGG
rnacentral:rRNA from 1 species